rnacentral:rRNA from 1 species
GGAGUUUGGACCGUGUCUCAGUUCCAAUGUGGCCGAUCACCCUCUCAGGUCGGCUACUGAUCGUCGCCUUGGUGGGCCGUUACCUCACCAACCAGCUAAUCAGACGCGAACUCACCCCAAACCGGAUCGCUCCUUUUACCCCAAAGCCAUGCAGCUCCGUGGUCUUAUGCGGUAUUAGCACCUGUUUCCAAGUGUUAUCCCCCUGUCUGGGACAGAUCGUUCACGCGUUACUCACCCGUCCGCCGCUCGAAUAUACCCGAUUCCUGCCGAAGCUUUCCUCUGAUAUAUCCCCGCUCGACUUGCAUGUGUUAGGCACGCCGCCAGCGUUCGUC